rnacentral:rRNA from 1 species
UGAGGAAUAUUGGUCAAUGGUCGGAAGACUGAACCAGCCAUGCCGCGUGCAGGAAGAAUGCCUUAUGGGUUGUAAACUGCUUUUAUAUGGGAAGAAUAAGGAGUACGUGUACUUUGAUGACGGUACCAUAUGAAUAAGCAUCGGCUAACUCCGUGCCAGCAGCCGCGGUAAUACGGAGGAUGCGAGCGUUAUUCGGAAUCAUUGGGUUUAAAGGGUCUGUAGGCGGGCUAUUAAGUCAGGGGUGAAAGGUUUCAGCUUAACUGAGAAAUUGCCUUUGAUACUGGUAGUCUUGAAUAUCUGUGAAGUUCUUGGAAUGUGUAGUGUAGCGGUGAAAUGCUUAGAUAUUACACAGAACACCGAUUGCGGAGGCAGGGGACUAACAGACGAUUGACGCUGAGAGACGAAAGCGUGGGGAGCGAACA